AUUCUUUUUUUUUUUUUUUUUUUUGAGAUUGGUUUUUGAAAAGCCACUUUAUUGUCAACGUGUAAUAUGCUCCAUUUCUCUUAAUAGAAGACAGUUCAUACUACUGAGAAUUUACUAUUAAGUAAAUAGCUGUCAACCACCCUUAAAUGAGGGUUUAGAUUUCACUGAAGCUUUUUUUCUUGUACACUAAUCACUGUGUUCUUAAGCUGAUUUGUUCAGCCACUAUCUAAUAUAACCGGUAAAAAAUAUAAAAACUUAAAUUGGUAUUCAGAUAUCUUCAUGUUUUUCUACUAGUUUAUUUUUCAAAAACAAACAUUGAAUGUCAAUUCCUGAAGGCAAUUUAAUUACUCUUUGUUAAAAGGCAGUAUUUUAGAUUUGGAGAUGUUAAAUUUUUUUUUUCUUAAAGAAGAGUGCAAAGUUUUGUAGUACUUCAGUUCCCAUCGCCCAUUAGAACACUAAGAACAAAGUGUUCCUCAGUCUGUUCUACUGGCCUUUAUUUGUAUUUGUUUUAGCACUUGGUUCAGCUGAUUCACUGAGUAAAAGAAUUGUUUUGCAAGGUGAAGCAUGUAGUAUUCCAAAGUAUGGUAAGAUUAUAGGUCAUGUUCUAUAUAGAAAUAUCAAAUCAUGACCACAGAGAGAUGAUAAGGCAUUGGAUCCCCUGUUGAAAUUUGUCUUUUUGGAAUCAACAAGGUACUUUCUGACUUCUAUGUCUUAUAUAAGGGAAUUUGAAAUAAUAUUAGUUAAUUCUCACUUUUUGUUGUAAUGGUUUUUGAGAUUUUUAGUUAAUCCAAAGAAAUAAUGCUUUUAAUUAGAAGCAAAGGUUUAUAGUGUACAAAUUGUAGGUUUAUCAAUUACCUCAGCAGGUAUCCUGCCAUGUAAUUAUUAGUGAUUAGUAUUAGUAAGCCAGUAGAUUUAGGUCUUCUGACUGUGCCCUUGGAUUUUGGCCUACCGUAUGUUAUUCAGCAAUCUCUUAGUAUCCAAAACGGGAGUAGAUGCUGCGGCCCCCUCUUCCUUGGCCUUUUAAGUCCCUUACCCUUUUCCAAUGAACAACACAGGAAAUAGAAAAAUCUCAUUUCUUGUUGAAGUCAGCACUGCUUAUUUGCAUACUCAGCAUUGGAUCGGUGAGUAGUUUUAUAAAAUCCACCUACCCCAACUCCCCUAAUUAAAACAAUCAUUCUUAAUUCAUACCAUCUGUAUUAAUAAUCUGCUGAAGAUGAUCCAAGGUUUUCAAGGUUUAUCAGUUUGAUCUUGAACUGAACCUGGAUGCUUUGUUUUAUUUUUCUCACAGUUCUCUCCUCCUUGAUAAAGCAAUAACACUGCUUUAAGUCUGUUGCCUAAUAGGCACGUCAUAGUCCUCUCUCGGAUGGUGAUUUUAUAGGAAAGUUUGUAUGCAUAUCACCCAGUCUAUCUUUUAAAAAAAUAAGAAAUUUAAAUGUAUGCUGGAGCUUAUGACAAUAUAUUGUGGCAUUUUAUUUUAAAAAUUGGGGAAAGUUGCAUAUUUUUUUAAAAGUAAGUAUUUGAGUAAAAAAAAAUUGAAGGUACUUUUUUAAGAAAAAAAAAUUUAUAUGCCACAGUUUACAUAGACAUUUCAGAUUUCAACAUGUACUCUUGGAUAUAAUGGUUUCUUUUAUUGGCCAAAAUGCAUGUAAAGCAUAUCUUUCAUCUUAGUUCCUUGUGUUUGCCUUCGUGGUCUUUUAUAUAUUUUUUAUUGUAUCUGAGAAAAUUAUCUUCAAAAAUAGGUCAAUUUGGAUAUAUUUGUCAUAAUCAUACUACAAAAUGUACAAAAUUAAGUUUAGCCCUUUUCUAGCAAGUAAUCUUUAAAGUCAAAAAUGCUGUUCUUUUAAAUUCACCAAAUUUGUAUGUGGGAAGGCACUGAAAUGAUUUUGUAAGUGCCACUGCAAUAUUCCCUUUCAGGUGUGGCCUAAAUUUCAGUCUUACGAAGGAAGUGCUUGUCUGCUCCUAGUCUGAAAAAUGUAGGCAUUUACUAUGUUUUAAAUCACAGUGAAACAUGUAUAUAAGCCUAUGAAAAUGGUAUGUGCAAUCUGAAAGCCUGUUAAUUUUCUAUGUAGACAUACACACGAAAGGGUUAAAUUUACAGCCUUACUAGUUCCUUGCUUCCAGUAUUUCAACUGGUCUCCUCCCCUCAUUAUUAUUAUUAUUCCUACUAUUACUACAACUAUUAUUUUUGCACAUAAUUAACUACCCUUCAAUAUGAUUCUUAAAGAAAAAGUGCUGUUUCUGUGGUAUUGUAUUCUCUAAAUAAUCAUAUUUAAUUUUUUAAAACAAGGUUGCAGUUUCUAAUUGUUCCGUUCCUGUGUUUUUUGCUGGUGUGUAUUAAAAGCAAGAUUUUCUUUUUCAUGGUUAUUUAAUACAUUAGCUGCCUGUAAAUAUUUCUUGUUAUAAUGCUCUGGAAUGUGUUGUAGAAGUUGUAUUAGAUUAGUUUAAAGCCUUGUUUGAAAGCCACAUUGUUUUGGUUAUUUCUAUUAAAUUAGAAAAUUGAAAAAGUUUGCAAA
rnacentral:lncRNA from 1 species